GGUGAAAUGCGUAGAGAUCUGGAGGAAUACCGAUGGCGAAGGCAGCUUCCUGGCAUCAUACUGACACUGAGGUUCGAAAGCGUGGGUAGCAAACAGGAUUAGAUACCUUGGUAGUCCACGCCGUAAACGAUGUCUACUAGUCGUUGGGUCCCUUGAGGACUUAGUGACGCAGCUAACGCAAUAAGUAGACCGCCUGGGGAGUACGGCCGCAAGGUUAAAACUCAAAUGAAUUGACGGGGGCCCGCACAAGCGGUGGAGCAUGUGGUUUAAUUCGAUGCAACGCGAAGAACCUUACCUGGUCUUGACAUACACAGAAUCUUGUAGAGAUACGAGAGUGCCUUCGGGAAUUGUGAUACAGGUGCUGCAUGGCUGUCGUCAGCUCGUGUCGUGAGAUGUUGGGUUAAGUCCCGCAACGAGCGCAACCCUUUUCCUUAGUUACCAGCACUUUGGGUGGGAACUCUAAGGAUACUGCCAGUGACAAACUGGAGGAAGGCGGGGACGACGUCAAGUCAUCAUGGCCCUUACGACCAGGGCUACACACGUGCUACAAUGGUAGGUACAGAGGGCGGCUACACAGCGAUGUGAUGCGAAUCUCAAAAAGCCUAUCGUAGUCCAGAUUGGAGUCUGCAACUCGACUCCAUGAAGUAGGAAUCGCUAGUAAUCGCGGAUCAGAAUGCCGCGGUGAAUACGUUCCCGGGCCUUGUACACACCGCCCGUCACACCAUGGGAGUUGAUUGCACCAGAAGUGGAUAGCCUAACGCAAGAGGGCGUUCACCACGGUGUGGUCGAUGACUGGGGUG
rnacentral:rRNA from 1 species